ensembl:ncRNA mir-4945 mir-4945 stem loop
GUGAUGGUGCUGGUGGUGGUGCCUUCAUUGUUUUUCUCUUCUUUUUGUUGUUUGACUUUUACACUUUUGAACAACAAGCCGAAAGGAAAAAGCAUGAAGGAAUGCAAAGUAUUCG